rnacentral:rRNA from 1 species
AUUGAACGCUAGCGGUAUGCUUUACACAUGCAAGUCGAACGGCAGCGCGGACUUCGGUCUGGCGGCGAGUGGCGAACGGGUGAGUAAUGUAUCGGAACGUGCCCAGUAGCGGGGGAUAACUACGCGAAAGCGUAGCUAAUACCGCAUACGCCCUACGGGGGAAAGCCGGGGAUCGUAAGACCUUGCACUAUUGGAGCGGCCGAUAUCGGAUUAGCUAGUUGGUGAGGUAACGGCUCACCAAGGCGACGAUCCGUAGCUGGUUUGAGAGGACGACCAGCCACACUGGGACUGAGACACGGCCCAGACUCCUACGGGAGGCAGCAGUGGGGAAUUUUGGACAAUGGGGGCAACCCUGAUCCAGCCAUCCCGCGUGUGCGAUGAAGGCCUUCGGGUUGUAAAGCACUUUUGGCAGGAAAGAAACGUCGCGGGCUAAUACCCCGUGGAACUGACGGUACCUGCAGAAUAAGCACCGGCUAACUACGUG